CACGUAGGAUCCAAGCGUUAUCCGGAUUUACUGGGCGUAAAGCGUGUGUAGGUGGUUUGUUAAGUUGGGUGUUAAAUCUCUCGGCUCAACUGGGAGUUGUCGCUCAAAACUAGCAGACUAGAGGAUGGUAGAGGGAGGUGGAAUUCCGGGUGUAGUGGUGAAAUGCGUAGAUAUCCGGAGGAACACCAGUGGCGAAGGCGGCCUCCUGGACCAUUCCUGACACUCAGACACGAAAGCUAGGGUAGCAAACAGG
rnacentral:rRNA from 1 species